GAGUUUGAUCCUGGCUCAGGAUGAACGCUGGCGGCGUGCCUAACACAUGCAAGUCGAGCGAUUUACUUCGGUAAAGAGCGGCGGACGGGUGAGUAACGCGUGGGUAACCUGCCUCAUACACAUGGAUAACAUACCGAAAGGUAUGCUAAUACAGGAUAAUAUAAGAGAUUCACAUGGAUUUCUUAUCAAAGCUCCGGCGGUAUGAGAUGGACCCGCGUCUGAUUAGCUAGUUGGUAAGGUAAUGGCUUACCAAGGCGACGAUCAGUAGCCGACCUGAGAGGGUGAUCGGCCACAUUGGAACUGAGACACGGUCCAAACUCCUACGGGAGGCAGCAGUGGGGAAUAUUGCACAAUGGGCGAAAGCCUGAUGCAGCAACGCCGCGUGAGUGAUGAAGGCCUUCGGGUCGUAAAACUCUGUCCUCAAGGAAGAUAAUGACGGUACUUGAGGAGGAGGCCCCGGCUAACUACGUGCCAGCAGCCGCGGUAAUAC
rnacentral:rRNA from 1 species